GAUGAACGCUGGCGGCGUGCCUAAUACAUGCAAGUCGAGCGAACAGACGAGGAGCUUGCUCCUCUGACGUUAGCGGCGGACGGGUGAGUAACACGUGGAUAACCUACCUAUAAGACUGGGAUAACUUCGGGAAACCGGAGCUAAUACCGGAUAAUAUAUUGAACCGCAUGGUUCAAUAGUGAAAGACGGUUUUGCUGUCACUUAUAGAUGGAUCCGCGCCGCAUUAGCUAGUUGGUAAGGUAACGGCUUACCAAGGCAACGAUGCGUAGCCGACCGGAGAGGGUGAUCGGCCACACUGGAACUGAGACACGGUCCAGACUCCUACGGGAGGCAGCAGUAGGGAAUCUUCCGCAAUGGGCGAAAGCUUGACGGAGCAACGCCGCGUGAGUGAUGAAGGUCUUCGGAUCGUAAAACUCUGUUAUUAGGGAAGAACAAAUGUGUAAGUAACUAUGCACGUCUUGACGGUACCUAAUCAGAAAGCCACGGCUAACUACGUG
rnacentral:rRNA from 1 species